GAAAAUACUUAACUGUUGUGAUUUUUUGCUUGGACUUGGGAAGCAAUUUCCUUCAUGGCACAGUGGGACGGACUUUGGACAUCCGGCCUUCCUUUGGUGCACUCAGCAGGGAUAGGGUGACCAGAUGUCCUAAUUUUUGGGCCUUUUUAUAUGGGCUUCUAUUACCCUCCAGGCCCUGUCCCGAUUUUUCACAUUUGCUCCCUGGUCACCCUAAGCGAGGAUCAUCUGAGGUUGAUACUGAGCUGG